CCUACGGGCGGCAGCAGUGAGGAAUAUUGGUCAAUGGACGAGAGUCUGAACCAGCCAAGUAGCGUGAAGGAUGACUGCCCUAUGGGUUGUAAACUUCUUUUAUAUGGGAAUAAAAUGUUCCACGUGUGGGAUUUUGUAUGUACCCUAUGAAUAAGGAUCGGCUAACUCCGUGCCAGCAGCCGCGGUAAUACGGAGGAUCCGAGCGUUAUCCGGAUUUAUUGGGUUUAAAGGGAGCGUAGGUGGAUUGUUAAGUCAGUUGUGAAAGUUUGCGGCUCAACCGUAAAAUUGCAGUUGAAACUGGCAGUCUUGAGUACAGUAGAGGUGGGCGGAAUUCGUGGUGUAGCGGUGAAAUGCUUAGAUAUCACGAAGAACUCCGAUUGCGAAGGCAGUUCACUGGACUGCAACUGACACUGAGGCUCGAAAGUGUGGGUAUCAAACAGGAUUAGAUACCCGGGUAGUC
rnacentral:rRNA from 1 species